GAUGAACGCUGGCGGCGUGCCUAAUACAUGCAAGUCGAGCGAACGGACGCGAAGUGUGCUUUUCUUAUGUUACCGACGGAUGGGUGAGUAACACGUGGAUAACCUUCCUAUAAGACUGGGAUCACUGCGGGAAACCGGAGCUAAGACCGGAUAAUAUUUUUAACCGCAUGGUUCAAAAGUUCAAGUCGGUCUUGCUGUCGCUUACAGCUGGAUCCGCGCUGCAUGAGCUAGUUGCUAAGGUAACGGCUUACCAAGGCAACGAUGCAUAGCCGACCUGAGAGGGUGAUCGGCCACACUGGAACUGAGACACGGUCCAGACUCCUACAGGAGGCAGCAGUAGGGAAUCGUCCGAAAUGGGCGGAAGCCUGACGGAGCAACGCCGCGUGGGUGAAGAAGGUCUUCGGAUCGGAUAACUCUGUUAUUAGGGAAGAACAUAUGUGUAAGUAACUGUGCACAUCUUGACGGUACCUAGUCAGAAAGCAACGGCUAACUACGUG
rnacentral:rRNA from 1 species